UACGUAGGGUGCGAGCGUUAAUCGGAAUUACUGGGCGUAAAGUGUGCGCAGGCGGCAGAGCAAGUCGAGUGUGAAAGCCCCGGGCUUAACUUGGGAAUUGCGCUCGAAACUACUUUGCUGGAGUGUGGCAGAGGAAGGUGGAAUUCCACGUGUAGCGGUGAAAUGCGUAGAGAUGUGGAGGAACACCAAUGGCGAAGGCAGCCUUCUGGGCCAACACUGACGCUCAUGCACGAAAGCGUGGGGAGCAGACAGG
rnacentral:rRNA from 1 species